UUUUUGAUCCUGGCUCAGAACGAACGCUGGCGGCGUGCCUAACACAUGCAAGUCGCACGAGAAAGGGACUUCGGUCCUGAGUAAAGUGGCGCACGGGUGAGUAACACGUGAAUGAUCUACCUCCGAGUGGGGAAUAACCAAGAGAAAUCUUGGCUAAUACCGCAUAACACUUACGGGUCAAAGCAGCAAUGCGCUUGGAGAGGAGUUCGCGGCAGAUUAGUUAGUUGGCGGGGUAAUGGCCCACCAAGACGAUGAUCUGUAUCCGGCCUGAGAGGGCGCACGGACACACUGGAACUGAAACACGGUCCAGACUCCUACGGGAGGCAGCAGUGGGGAAUUUUGCGCAAUGGGGGAAACCCUGACGCAGCAACGCCGCG
rnacentral:rRNA from 1 species